AGCAGGGGAGAGGAAGGUGGUGUACGGCUGCAGAGGACAGGUGUCACUGCAGCCUUGGAGAAGUGGAGAGCAAAGGCAGGAGGGAAUGUGCCCAGGAGGCUGGCCCCUCCGCCUCGCUUCUCUGCCAUGGACUGUGGGCUGAAGCGGGAGCCUGAAUAACCUCUCCUGUAAGUUAGAGGUGGCGGGUGUUGUGUCCCAGCGACGGGAAGGUGACUAGGACGGGCGUAGAACUCAGGCCCCAGUGCACCCGCCGGCUGGACACCUUGGGGAAAGGACUGGAGCGCCCUGUCCCCCGCUGGAUGCCAUUCAUUCCCCGUCCUUUGCAGUUUGAUGAGACCUGGACUCCAGGGACUUGUGAGUGACACCCAGGUGGGCCGUGCUGUGUCACUGCCCCCUCCAGCCCCAGUGUCCCCCCAAGGGUCACGACUGCCCCCUCCAGCCCCAGCCCUUGGCACAGUGCCUGUGACAGAUGAAUGAAUGAGCAGUGAGUGCUCCCUGCUGCUCCUGGACCCUGGGGGCCAUGGCUUCUCCGUCCAGGCUUCGUCCCAUUCUGCUGGGCCUGGCAGCUGGCAGGGGCAGGAGAGGCUGAUGUCUCCCUUGCUCUCGCCUGCGCCCCCUUCACUCUGACUGUUGCUAACACGGGAAGGUGGAGGGGCCUUGUGCUCCCCAAAGAGCCCUCUGCAUCCUGUGGGGUUCUGAUGACCACGAACUGUCAUGUUCUUAUGCUUUUCAAGUCAAUUCACAUCUUUUCUUUUCGGCAGUACUGGGGACUGACCCCAGGCCUUCACAUUGAC
rnacentral:lncRNA from 1 species